GACGAACGCUGGCGGCGUGCCUAAUACAUGCAAGUCGAGCGAGCGGAACCAACAGAUUUACUUCGGUAAUGACGUUGGGACAGCGAGCGGCGGAUGGGUGAGUAACACGUGGGGAACCUGCCCCUAAGUCUGGGAUACCAUUUGGAAACAGGUGCUAAUACCGGAUAAGAAAGCAGAUCGCAUGAUCAGCUUUUAAAAGGCGGCGUAAGCUGUCGCUAAGGGAUGGCCCCGCGGUGCAUUAGCUAGUUGGUAAGGUAACGGCUUACCAAGGCAACGAUGCAUAGCCGAUCUGAGAGACUGAUCGGCCACAUUGGGACUGAGACACGGCCCAAACUCCUACGGGAGGCAGCAGUAGGGAAUCUUCCACAAUGGACGCAAGUCUGAUGGAGCAACGCCGCGUGAGUGAAGAAGGUUUUCGGAUCGUAAAGCUCUGUUGUUGGUGAAGAAGGAUAGAGGUAGUAACUGGCCUUUAUUUGACGGUAAUCAACCAGAAAGUCACGGCUAACUACGUG
rnacentral:rRNA from 1 species